rnacentral:rRNA from 1 species
CAGCAGCCGCGGGAAUACGUAGGGUGCAAGCGUUAAUCGGAAUUACUGGGCGUAAAGCGUGCGCAGGCGGUUAUAUAAGUCAGAUGUGAAAUCCCCGGGCUCAACCUGGGAACUGCAUUUGAGACUGUAUGGCUAGAGUGUGUCAGAGGGGGGUAGAAUUCCACGUGUAGCAGUGAAAUGCGUAGAUAUGUGGAGGAAUACCGAUGGCGAAGGCAGCCCCCUGGGAUAACACUGACGCUCAUGCACGAAAGCGUGGGGAGCAAACAGGAUUAGAUACCCGCGUAGUCCCUGUCUCUUAUAC